AUGUGUGACGCUACCUUAAUAAACUGAGGGCCAUUGUAUAUCGGCUCAUUUUCGUUUCAUAUGUCAGGCGCACACUGUCGCGAGUAGCUACAAUGUCGGAGAAUAUAUGACAUAACGCAGGAACAACGGCUUUACAUCCUCCUUUUGAGGCACGGGAGUUCAUUGUACCGUACUCCAUAACCUCAGCUACUUCGGUA